CACCAGCUUGCGGGCAUCAGCCGCGGGGCACCCGGCCACCCUGCCCGGGCCCCGGAGCGCCCGUCUGCGCAGGGGGGCUCGGGUCCGUUCCGCGGCUGGUGCCGGGAGCGCAGAGCCUUACGCCGGGGGCAGCAGCCGGGUGCCCCUGCAAGGCAGGAGCGACCCACAGGGGCUGGCGGCGGGUCCCGGCUCCCCCCCGCGGACCUUAACCCGGCUCCCCAGUGUCCCGGAGCUCCCCCCCCCGCGAGGCUCCCGGCGCCGGGUCCUCCCCUCACCUCGGUAGCGGCGGAAGGCGGCGUGGCAGGCGGCGAGCAGCAGGACGGCGCCCAGCGCCAGCGCCUUGGCGCUCCUCACGCUGAAGAUGUUGGCAAUUUGUGGGAUGGGAGCUGCGGGAGCAGAGCUGCCUGGCCAUGCCUCUGUCUACGAGCCGGACAUUCUGGCUGUUUCCAGGGAUGCCAGGCUUUCAAAGAAGAGCAGAAUACUUAAAAAAAAGAUCUGGAAACAAGGCAUAUAAAACAGUCUCCCUGCCUCUACAUUAAAUUAAUACUACCACAUCAAAAAAAAUUUAAAAGGGAGGAGGAGAAGCAAUCUCAUUGAACAGGAGGCACUAUUAGGAGUUGUCAACGGGAGAGGAACAUCGUAGGCAGAAGGGAAUCAGGUGGCACAUCAAGGGCAGCAGGGAAGAAGAGAACUCAGUGUCAGUAAAAUAUGUACAAUAAGAGAAAGUCACUAGGUAGCAGAAAGACAUAAAUGGGAAUGGACAAGAUCAGAAUGAAUGGAAGAGCAAAGAGAGACAGUAUGAUUAAUUUUCUUCAAAAUGGAUAAAAUAUGUAGGAACUUUACACUUCUUAAGCACUAUGGGGGUAGGAAAACUGCCCCGGAUCAUAGAGCGGCUGAAGUGGUUCCCCCCCCCACAUCUGGUCAGGAGACGCACUGAUUAUGCGCCGACCAGGUGAUUACCACUGGAACACGCUAUGCAUAAAGCACCAAUUAGGAGAAAGGGCAAGAAGUUGGACUGAGUUUGUACAUGCGCAUGAUAUGAUGAUUUAUGUAACCAAUUAUAAUAAAAGGACAUGGAAAACCCC